GAUGAACGCUAGCGGGAGGCCUAACACAUGCGAGCCGAGCGGUAUUUGUUCUUCGGAACAGAGAGAGCGGCGCACGGGUGCGGAACACGUGUGCAACCUGCCUUUAUCUGGGGGAUAGCCUUUCGAAAGGAAGAUUAAUACCCCAUAAUAUAUUGAGUGGCAUCAUUUGAUAUUGAAAACUCCGGUGGAUAGAGAUGGGCACGCGCAAGAUUAGAUAGUUGGUGAGGUAACGGCUCACCAAGUCAAUGAUCUUUAGGGGGCCUGAGAGGGUGAUCCCCCACACGGGUACUGAGACACGGACCAGACUCCUACGGGAGGCAGCAGUGAGGAAUAUUGGACAAUGGGUUAGCGCCUGAUCCAGCCAUCCCGCGUGAAGGACGACGGCCCUAUGGGUUGUAAACUUCUUUUGUAUAGGGAUAAACCUACUCUCGUGAGAGUAGCUGAAGGUACUAUACGAAUAAGCACCGGCUAACUCCGUG
rnacentral:rRNA from 1 species